CUACGGAGGGUGCAAGCGUUAAUCGGAAUCACUGGGCGUAAAGCGUACGUAGGCGGUCCGUUAAGUUAGAUGUGAAAGCCCCGGGCUUAACCUGGGAACUGCAUUUAAAACUGGCGGACUAGAGUUGAGUAGAGGGGAGUGGAAUUUCAGGUGUAGCGGUGAAAUGCGUAGAGAUCUGAAGGAACACCAGUGGCGAAGGCGACUCCCUGGACUCGAACUGACGCUGAGGUACGAAAGCGUGGGUAGCAAACGGGAUUAGAAACCCCAGUAGUCC
rnacentral:rRNA from 1 species